UACAGAGGGGGCAAGCGUUGUUCGGAAUUACUGGGCGUAAAGGGCGCGUAGGCGGCCUGCUAAGUCGAACGUGAAAUCCCUGGGCUCAACCCAGGAACUGCGUCCGAUACUGGUUGGCUUGAAUCCGGGAGAGGGAUGUGGAAUUCCAGGUGUAGCGGUGAAAUGCGUAGAUAUUAGGAAGAACACCGGUGGCGAAGGCGGCCCACUGGCUCGAUACUGACGCUGAGGUGCGAAAGCGUGGGGAGCAAACAGGG
rnacentral:rRNA from 1 species